AUUUCGAUAACCGAUGGGGAUGCGUUCCAUUAGUUUGUUGGCGGGGUAACGGCCCACCAAGACAUCGAUGGAUAGGGGUUCUGAGAGGAAGGUCCCCCACAUUGGAACUGAGACACGGUCCAAACUCCUACGGGAGGCAGCAGUGAGGAAUAUUGGUCAAUGGACGAGAGUCUGAACCAGCCAAGUAGCGUGAAGGAUGACUGCCCUAUGGGUUGUAAACUUCUUUUAUAUGGGAAUAAAGUGAGCCACGUGUGGCUUUUUGUAUGUACCAUACGAAUAAGGAUCGGCUAACUCCGUGCCAGCAGCCGCGGUAAUACGGAGGAUCCGAGCGUUAUCCGGAUUUAUUGGGUUUAAAGGGAGCGUAGGCGGACUAUUAAGUCAGCUGUGAAAGUUUGCGGCUCAACCGUAAAAUUGCAGUUGAUACUGGUCGUCUUGAGUGCAGUAGAGGUAGGCGGAAUUCGUGGUGUAGCGGUGAAAUGCUUAGAUAUCACGAAGAACUCCGAUUGCGAAGGCAGCUUACUGGACUGUAACUGACGCUGAUGCUCGAAAGUGUGGGUAUCAAACAGGAUUAGAUACCCUGGUAGUCCACACAGUAAACGAUGAAUACUCGCUGUUUGCGAUAUACRGCAAGCGGCCAAGCGAAAGCAUUAAGUAUUCCACCUGGGGAGUACGCCGGCAACGGUGAAACUCAAAGGAAUUGACGGGGGCCCGCACAAGCGGAGGAACAUGUGGUUUAAUUCGAUGAUACGCGAGGAACCUUACCCGGGCUUAAAUUGCAUAUGAAUAAUUUGGAAACAUUUUAGCCGCAAGGCAUUUGUGAAGGUGCUGCAUGGUUGUCGUCAGCUCGUGCCGUGAGGUGUCGGCUUAAGUGCCAUAACGAGCGCAACCCUUAUCUUUAGUUACUAACAGGUCAUGCUGAGGACUCUAGAGAGACUGCCGUCGUAAGAUGUGAGGAAGGUGGGGAUGACGUCAAAUCAGCACGGCCCUUACGUCCGGGGCUACACACGUGUUACAAUGGGGGGUACAGAAGGCAGCUACACAGCGAUGUGAUGCUAAUCCCAAAAGCCUCUCUCAGUUCGGAUUGGAGUCUGCAACCCGACUCCAUGAAGCUGGAUUCGCUAGU
rnacentral:rRNA from 1 species